GAUGAACGCUAGCGGCAGGCCUAAUACAUGCAAGUCGAGGGGUAUGGGUUGCUUGCAACCCAGAGACCGGCGCACGGGUGCGUAACGCGUAUGCAAUCUACCUUAAUCAGGGGGAUAGCCCGGAGAAAUCCGGAUUAACACCGCAUAACAUUGAGUUGUGGCAUCACAGUUCAAUCAAAUAUUUAUAGGAUUAAGAUGAGCAUGCGUGACAUUAGUUAGUUGGUGAGGUAACGGCUCACCAAGACCACGAUGUCUAGGGGAUCUGAGAGGAUGACCCCCCACACUGGUACUGAGACACGGACCAGACUCCUACGGGAGGAAGCAGUAAGGAAUAUUGGUCAAUGGGCGCAAGCCUGAACCAGCCAUGCCGCGUGCAGGAAGACGGCCCUAUGGGUUGUAAACUGCUUUUGUACCGGAAUAAACCUUCUCUUGCGAGAGAAGCUGAACGUACGGUAAGAAUAAGGAUCGGCUAACUCCGUG
rnacentral:rRNA from 1 species